rnacentral:rRNA from 1 species
GAUGAACGCUGGCGGCGUGCCUAAUACAUGCAAGUCGAGCGAACAGACGAGGAGCUUGCUCCUCUGACGUUAGCGGCGGACGGGUGAGUAACACGUGGAUAACCUACCUAUAAGACUGGGAUAACUUCGGGAAACCGGAGCUAAUACCGGAUAAUAUAUUGAACCGCAUGGUUCAAUAGUGAAAGACGGUUUUGCUGUCACUUAUAGAUGGAUCCGCGCCGCAUUAGCUAGUUGGUAAGGUAACGGCUUACCAAGGCAACGAUGCGUAGCCGACCUGAGAGGGUGAUCGGCCACACUGGAACUGAGACACGGUCCAGACUCCUACGGGAGGCAGCAGUAGGGAAUCUUCCGCAAUGGGCGAAAGCCUAACGGAGCAACGCCGCGUGAGUGAUGAAGGUCUUCGGAUCGUAAAACUCUGUUAUUAGGGAAAAACAAAUGUGUAAGUAACUAUGCACGUCUUGACGGUACCUAAUCAGAAAGCCACGGCUAACUACGUG